rnacentral:rRNA from 1 species
CCUACGGGAGGCAGCAGUGAGGAAUAUUGGUCAAUGGGCGGGAGCCUGAACCAGCCAAGCCGCGUGAGGGAAGAAGGUACAGCGUAUCGUAAACCUCUUUUGUCAGGGAACAAAGGAGGGGACUAGUCCCCGGAUGAGGGUACCUUAAGAAAAAGCAUCGGCUACCUCCGUGCCAGCAGCCGCGGUAAUACGGAGGAUGCGAGCGUUAUCCGGAUUUAUUGGGUUAAAAGGGAGCGCAGGCGGCCUGUUAAGUCAGCGGGAAAAGCCCGGGGCUAAACCCCGGCGAGCCGUUGAAACUGGCGGGCUGGAGUUGGGGAGAAGUACGCGGAAUGCGUGGUGUAGCGGUGAAAUGCUUAGAUAUCGCGCAGAACCCCGAUUGCGAAGGCAGCGUACCGGCUCCACACUGACGCUGAGGCACGAAAGCGUGGGUAUCGAACAGGAUUAGAUACCCCAGUAGUC